UAGGGAAUCUUCCACAAUGGGCGCACGCCUGAUGGAGCAACACCGCGUGAGUGAAGAAGGGUUUCGGCUCGUAAAGCUCUGUUGUUAAAGAAGGACACGUAUGAGAGUAACUGUUCAUACGUUGACGGUAUUUAACCAGAAAGUCACGGCUAACUACGUGCCAG
rnacentral:rRNA from 1 species